GAUGAACGCUAGCUACAGGCUUAACACAUGCAAGUCGCGGGGCAGCAUGGGGGUUGCUUGCAAUCCCCGAUGGCGACCGGCGCACGGGUGAGUAACGCGUAUCCAACCUGCCCUUCACCACGGGAUAACCCGGCGAAAGUCGGACUAAUACCGUAUGUUGUCCAUUGACGGCAUCCGAUUUGGACGAAAGGCUUGGCGGUGAGGGAUGGGGAUGCGUCCGAUUAGCCAGACGGCGGGGUAACGGCCCACCGUGGCUACGAUCGGUAGGGGUUCUGAGAGGAAGGUCCCCCACACUGGAACUGAGACACGGUCCAGACUCCUACGGGAGGCAGCAGUGAGGAAGAUUGGUCAAUGGGCGUAAGCCUGAACCAGCCAAGUAGCGUGCAGGAUGACGGCCCUAUGGGUUGUAAACUGCUUUUAUGCGGGGAUAAAGUGGCCCACGGGUGGGCUUUUGCAGGUACCGCAUGAAUAAGGACCGGCUAAUUCCGUG
rnacentral:rRNA from 1 species